rnacentral:rRNA from 1 species
UACAGAGGUCCCAAGCGUUGUUCGGAUUCAUUGGGCGUAAAGGGUGCGUAGGCGGUCUUCUAAGUUUGAUGUGAAAUCCCGGGGCUCAACCCUGGAAUUGCAUUGAAUACUGGAGGACUAGAGUACCGGAGAGGAAACUGGAAUUUACGGUGUAGCAGUGAAAUGCGUAGAGAUCGUAAGGAAGACCAGUGGCGAAGGCGAGUUUCUGGACGGUAACUGACGCUGAGGCACGAAGGCCAGGGGAGCAAACGGG